GCGGGAGUAGCUCAGCUGGUAGAGCUUCAGCCUUCCAAGCUGGAUGUCGCGAGUUCAAAUCUCGUCUCCCGCUCCA
rnacentral:tRNA from 1 species